rnacentral:rRNA from 1 species
UACGUAGGGACCGAGCGUUGUCCGGAAUCAUUGGGCGUAAAGAGCGUGUAGGCGGCCCCUUAAGUCCUGCGUGAAAUCCUGCGGCUCAACCGCAGACGGUCGUGGGAAACUGGAGGGCUAGAGUGCGGGAGAGGAGAGUGGAAUUCCCGGUGUAGCGGUGAAAUGCGCAGAUAUCUAUCGGAACGCCGAAGGUGAAGACAGGUCGCUGGGCUUGUACUGACGCUGAGGAACGAAAGCGUGGGGAGCAAACGGG